GACGAACGCUGGCGGCGUGCUUAACACAUGCAAGUCGAACGGUAAGGCCCUUCGGGGUACACGAGUGGCGAACGGGUGAGUAACACGUGGGUGAUCUGCCCUGCACUUCGGGAUAAGCCUGGGAAACUGGGUCUAAUACCGGAUAGGACCCUGGGAUGCAUGUCCUGGGGUGGAAAGCUUUUGCGGUGUGGGAUGGGCCCGCGGCCUAUCAGCUUGUUGGUGGGGUGAUGGCCUACCAAGGCGACGACGGGUAGCCGGCCUGAGAGGGUGACCGGCCACACUGGGACUGAGUUACGGCCCAGACUCCUACGGGAGGCAGCAGUGGGGAAUAUUGCACAAGGGGCGCAAGCCUGAUGCAGCGACGCCGCGUGAGGGAUGACGGCCUUCGGGUUGUAAACCUCUUUCAGCACCGACGAAGCGCAAGUGACGGUAGGUGCAGAAGAAGGACCGGCCAACUACGUGCCAGCCGCCGCGGUAA
rnacentral:rRNA from 1 species